AUGGACCUGCAGGGCUGCAGGCCAUUCAUCUUGAAAAAGAGCUACAUCGGUGUGAAAUUGUUCAGUGAUGAAACCUACUUUAGGAGCUGCCGCUGCUGGGUGAGAAGAGCUUCCAGCUUGAAAGUCUGCUCUCAGAGGAAGAGUCCUGGGGACCUGCAACAUCCAUGUGAAAUCGUGUGUUUCCACGAGAUUGACCUACAGUCCCCUGUCACCAGUAUCACCUGGGAUUCUGCUCACUGUCACAUGUCAUACUCACAGUCAUGAUGAGAUCACUACCCAGCUCUGAGCACCAGGAGGACCUCGGCAUGUCUAAAACCAAUCUUAAGGCCAAGUGCAGAGCCUUAGGGACAGAGUUAGAGAAACAGCUGCAGCCAGAAGCCUGAGCUGCUGAGUGGCUGCUGUGGAAGAAGGCUCAGCAAUGAAGCAAGGAGCAAGGGAACCAGCAAUGAGGAGGAGAGAGAUGCAGGAGCCAGGGAAGUUCCCAGAGCCAUGGAGCACCCAGCAGAGUAUCAGGGAGGCACCGAGGACCCAUGAGCUGACCAUGGCUGGAUGGAAGGCCCUAGGACCAGCACGGCUAAGCCCCAGGGAGCAAUGUCAUGGAAAGCCAGGACUCAUGAAGUAGCAUGACAGUCAAGGGCAUGGGAGGCAGAGAUAGAGCUACUUGCUGAAAACUACAUGUUCAAUGGAGAAAAAUCUCCCGCUCCCAGGAGAGAACUGUCUUGCCACCUGGGAUCCUGAAGCUUCCACCUUGGCACCCCUGAUGCUUAGACGGGGUAGAAGGCUUAUUAAGCAUCUGUAACAGCUUUAGGAUUCCCGUGCAUGAUCUCAGGAGAUUGGACUUCUGGCAGAGACAGUGGACAUCUGGGUAAGUGUUUUCAAUCCUAACGUCAUCCUAACAUAUCUGGAUGGGUGAAAGAAUUCUCUGAGACUCUGAGGGAUGUAAUCUGAGCCUGUGUGAGGGAUCAUCACAGCGAUAGGGAAGAAAAGAGCCAGUCACCUUGACCUACAAAGUGGACCAGUCAGGUGCACUCGCCAAAAACAUGCAGGGAUGCUUGGGGCCAGUGGUGGACUCUGUCUUUCAACAAAGAUAUAACUUAGUCACAUGGACACACCACCUAUAAGGAAAGAUGGGAAAUGCGGUCUAAUGGAGUGUUAUGGACUGAAUGUUUGUGUCCUGGAGUUCCUUUCGUGGCUCAGCGGUUAGUGAACCUGACUGGGGUUGAUGAGGAUGUGGGUUCCAUGCCUGGUGUCAUUCAGCAGGUAAAGGAUCCAGUGUUGCUGUGAGCUGUGGUAUUGGUUGCUGGCGAGGCUCGGAUCCCGUGUUGGGGUGGCUGUGGUGUAGGCAGGCAGCUGCAGCUGUAAUUCAACCCCUUGCCCGGGAGCCUCCUUAUGCCCAUGUGGCCCUUAAAAAAAAAAAAAAAAAAAAAAAGUUUGCGUCCCCUGCAAUAUCCAUAUUUUCACACCCUAAUCCCCACUGCAAUGGUAUUUAGAGGUAGGGCUUUAGGAAGGUAAUUAGGUGUAGAUGAGGUCAUAAGGGUGGAGCACCCAUGAUGGGAAUCAGUAUCUAUAGGGACUUAUAAGGUUCUUAUUUAUUAUUAUUUAUUUUAUUUAUUGUCUUUUUUAGGGCCGCAGCCCCGAGGCCAGGAUCAAACCCACAACCUCAAGGUUCCUUAUCAGAUUCGUUUCUGCUGCACCACUGCAGGAACUCCCAUAAGGUUCUUAAUUAAAGAGGAAGAGACCAGAGUGGGCGAUCCCCUCUCCUCUCCUUUCCUCUCCCUUCUCUCCCCUGCCCCACACCCCUCUUUAUCUGCCUUGAAAGAACACAAUUAGAAGGCAGCCGGGAAGAGAAACCUCACCAAUAAUCAGAAAUGUGGCUCCUUGAGCUCAGACUUCUAGCAUCCAGAAUUGUGAGAAAUAAAUGUCUGCUGCUUAAGCCA
rnacentral:lncRNA from 1 species